rfam:Apaloderma vittatum contig7001, whole genome shotgun sequence.
GGCUGGUUAGCUCAGUCAGUUGAGCGAGGCGCUAACAACGCCAAGGUCACGGGUUCGAUUCCCGUUUGGUCCC